CUAUAAUGUAGAAGUUCAAAUGUGAACAUUGUGACAAAAUAAUCCAUCCUUGAUGAAAUUUAGAAUCCAAGUUUUGAAGUCAGUUCUGGUCUGGCAAUAGGGUUGUUACUCGUUCACACUGUGAUAUAAUAUCAGUGCUUAAGAUAACUUUUGUGAAUUAGCAAAUGAAUCAGGUUUGCAUCAGGAGCAGCAGGAACACAAGACGGGUAACACAGUAAACAACAACCACUUCAUUUGUAUCUAAUAAAGUAAACAGUCAUCAGUGUGAACAUGCAUGGAACCAGAUCUGGAAGGAGCAGUCCAAUCAUCAGCAGCACAUGUUGCAUUUUAAAGUUCGUAAUGCAAUCCGCCAUUCCAGUGGAUCACAAUGAAGCCCUCUGGCUAUGUCAUGGUAUGAGCUUUCCCUCUGCAUCCUUCAGCCCAUAUACUCAAGCUCAACUCCUGAAGCUCAGAAGCUGGACCCAAGCCUGGAUGUCAGCCCAAGAUCUGAUUGAGCCAGAGCCUACAGGGCCUCCCUGAAGGAGGGUAUGAUCAAUGGUUUAUGCUGUGAUCAGAAAACUAUUUCAGUAAAUUAUUGUUUGUUUAGCACCAGGAACAAAGUGGAGACAAAAGGGUUUCAGAACAACAAGC
rnacentral:lncRNA from 1 species